rnacentral:rRNA from 1 species
GAUGAACGCUGGCGGCGUGCCUAAUACAUGCAAGUCGAGCGAACGGAUAAGGAGCUUGCUCCUUUGAAGUUAGCGGCGGACGGGUGAGUAACACGUGGGUAACCUACCUAUAAGACUGGAAUAACUUCGGGAAACCGGAGCUAAUGCCGGAUAACAUUUGGAACUGCAUGGUUCUAAAGUAAAAGAUGGUUUUGCUAUCACUUAUAGAUGGACCCGCGCCGUAUUAGCUAGUUGGUAAGGUAACGGCUUACCAAGGCAACGAUACGUAGCCGACCUGAGAGGGUGAUCGGCCACACUGGAACAGAGACCAGGGCCAGACUCCUACGGGAGGCAGCAGUAGGGAAUCUUCCGCAAUGGACGAAAGUCUGACGGAGCAACGCCGCGUGAGUGAUGAAGGUUUUCGGAUCGUAAAACUCUGUUAUUAGGGAAGAACAAAUGUGUAAGUAACUGUGCACAUCUUGACGGUACCUAAUCAGAAAGCCACGGCUAACUACGUGCCAGCCGCCGCGGUAA